rnacentral:lncRNA from 1 species
UCCUCCAUCUUUGUUGGAUUGAAUCUCAUCUCUACAUCAAAUAUAUGUUUCAGAAUGUUGAAGACAAAAGGAAAAAGUAAAAACAAAACAGUCCGAUCUUACCCCGAGGAGAAUACAGACUAAUUCCAGCAUCAUAUAAUACCUGAUCAUUUAUCAAAGUGGAAAGCUUGGGUGCUCUGGUGGUGAUCAGGAUGGAGUAAGCCACC